GUCUUAGUACGUACUGCUGUUAGAUUUCUCUUCAUUGUUGCCGGAAGAGGACUCUGGACUGCUGCUGUCUUCUCGCCGCUCUCUUCCCCUUGUUUCCCGGCACGUGUCGGAGCCGGACCCUGGGGGAUGCAUGGUGCACAGGAAAUGAUGAGUUCUGGGACUUUGAUGUCUGGGACCACUGGUGUGUGUUGAAGAUGGCAGCCACAAGUGUUUCACGUCUGCACAGCUAAGUUUGGCUGUGAAGCGGCCGAACAACAAAGGAGAGCAAGUCGUAUCCUCCUGCAGCACAUUAACUGGAGAAGCUGGCAUCUGAUUUUACACAGAAGGUUGCCUGUAGAAGCCGGCGGAGCAAUCAGAUGGCUGCUUUGUCCAGGGACUGAGGCUGAGAAUGGAGCGAAUGCGGGGAAAAGCAGCCGGGCCUCGUAAAGCCCGUGGGAUGCAGUGGGGAAACUGUGGUCUUCGCCAGUGGGAUGCAGUGGGGAAACUGUGGUCUUCGCCAGUGGGAUGCAGUGGGGAAGCUGUGGUCUUCUCCUCUCGCACCGUGAAGUUGUACUGGCUUGUUUUCAGAUUCGGGAAAUGCUAACUCACAAAGAAAAAAUGAAAAUGAAACAAACUAUAAAACAACAAAUGCUGUAGCUCCUUUGGAAUUUGAUUUAGGAUCAAUAAAGUACUACAACUACUACUGCUACU